GACGAAGGGGGCUAGCGUUGUUCGGAAUUACUGGGCGUAAAGCGCGUGUAGGCGGUUGCCAUAGUCAGGUGUGAAAGCCUUGAGCUUAACUCAAGAAAUGCACUUGAUACUGGGCGACUAGAGGACCGGAGAGGAUAGUGGAAUUCCCAGUGUAGUGGUGAAAUUCGUAGAUAUUCGGAAGAACACCAGUGGCGAAGGCGGCUCACUGGCCCGGUACUGACGCUGAGGUGCGAAAGCGUGGGGAGCAAACAGG
rnacentral:rRNA from 1 species